ACGUACAUCCUGCGGGAGGCAGCAGUGGGGAAUUUUGGACAAUGGGGGCAACCCUGAUCCAGCAAUGCCGCGUGAGUGAAGAAGGCCUUCGGGUUGUAAAGCUCUUUUGUCAGGGAAGAAACGGUGGUGGCGAAUAACUACUACUAAUGACGGUACCUGAAGAAUAAGCACCGGCUAACUACGUGCCAGCAGCCGCGGUAAUACGUAGGGUGCAAGCGUUAAUCGGAAUUACUGGGCGUAAAGCGUGCGCAGGCGGUUGUGUAAGUCAGAUGUGAAAUCCCCGGGCUCAACCUGGGAAUUGCAUUUGAGACUGCACGGCUAGAGUGUGUCAGAGGGGGGUAGAAUUCCACGUGUAGCAGUGAAAUGCGUAGAUAUGUGGAGGAAUACCGAUGGCGAAGGCAGCCCCCUGGGAUAACACUGACGCUCAUGCACGAAAGCGUGGGGAGCAAACAGGAUUAGAAACCCUGGUAGUCCCAUG
rnacentral:rRNA from 1 species